CCUACGGGAGGCAGCAGUGGGGAAUAUUGCACAAUGGGGGAAACCCUGAUGCAGCGACGCCGCGUGAGUGAAGAAGUAUUUCGGUAUGUAAAGCUCUAUCAGCAGGGAAGAAGAAAGACGGUUACUGACUAAGAAGCCCCGGCUAACUAAGUGCCAGCAGCCGCGGUAAUAAGUAGGGGGCAAGCGUUAUCCGGAUUUACUGGGUGUAAAGGGUGCGCAGGCGGUGCUGCAAGUCUGGAGUGAAACGCAUGGGCUUAACUCAUGCAUGGCUUUUGAAACUGGAGGACUUGAGUGCAGGAGAGGGCGGUGGAACUCCAAGUGUAGCGGUAAAAUGCGUAGAUAUAUGGAGGAACACCAGUGGCGAAGGCGGCCGCCUGGCCUGUUGCUGACGCUGAGGCACGAAAGCGUGGGGAGCAAACAGGAUUAGAUACCCUAGUAGUC
rnacentral:rRNA from 1 species